rnacentral:lncRNA from 1 species
CUCAAAAAAAAAAAAAAAAAAAAAAGUGGCUGCACAGGAUGAUCACUUGAACCCAGGAGUUUGAGGCUACAGUGGGCUAUGAUCAUGCCAUUGCAUUCCAGUCUGGGCAACAGAGUGAGACUCUGUCUCAAAAUAAAAUAAAUAAAAGCAGAGUUCCUUGAAACAUUAUUACCCAAAACUAUUUUGUUCUGUACUAGAGAGAGCAGAGGUUAGUGGUCAGAUAGACUAAUACACUGACCAAUUAGUCAAAUGACCUUAAGGAAGUAGUUUGACUUUUAUGAACCGUACCUUCCUUAUCUAUAAAAUGGAGAGGGUAAAUCCAACCUCACAGGGCUGUCAGGAAAAUUCAAAGAAAUAAUGGAGGUAAAGCACCCAUGAUGGGGUCUCAGCCUCAAUUAUUGCGUGAGCCAAUGUUUUUUUCUCUCUCUCUCUGUUGGUUCUGUUUCUCUGCAGAACCCUAUGACAUGGGCUGAGAACUUCUCCCAAAGCAAGUUCUUUCUUCAGUUCUUAUAGGUAAACCGAGUAUGUUCUCUAUGUUAUCAAAUUGGGAGAAUGGGGAAAGUUGGGGGGUUGUAACAGAGACAAAUCUUCGUUAUAAGUUUAUCAGAAAAUGAUGAUGUUAUCGAAUUGGGAGAAUGGGGAAAGUUGUGGGGACAGUGAUAACAGAGCCAAAUCUCUGUCUAUCCAAUUGUCUAUCAAAACAGGAACUCAACGGAUUGGAGCCUACUGGGCUUGAGAGCCCC